rnacentral:rRNA from 1 species
AGAGUUUGAUCAUGGCUCAGAACGAACGCUGGCGGCGUGCCUAACACAUGCAAGUCGGACGGAGUUAACUGACAGCACUAAGCCUUCAGCUUUAAGCGGGGAGCUUAAGGAAGCUUUUAAUAUUUUAAGCUUAUUGCUGAGAGCUAAGUGCUGUUGGUUAACUUAGUGGCGGACGGGUGAGUAACACGUAGGUAACCUGCCCACGAGAGGGGGACAACCUAGGGGAAACUUGGGCUAAUACCCCAUAAGACCACGUGCUGGGAAGCAUGAGGUAAAAAGGUAGCAAUACGCUCAUGGAUGGGCCUGCGGCCUAUCAGGUAGUUGGUGAGGUAAAGGCUCACCAAGCCAAAGACGGGUAGCCGGGCUGAGAGGUUGAACGGCCACACUGGAACUGAGAUACGGUCCAGACUCCUACGGGAGGCAGCAGUGGGGAAUAUUGCACAAUGGGGGAAACCCUGAUGCAGCGACGCCGCGUGGAGGAUGAAGGCCUUCGGGUUGUAAACUCCUUUUCUUGGGAAAGAUGAUGACGGUACCCAAGGAAUAAGCCACGGCUAACUCUGUGCCAGCAGCCGCGGUAAGACAGAGGUGGCGAGCGUUGUUCGGAAUUACUGGGCUUAAAGGGCGAGUAGGCGGUGGGACAAGUCUGAGGUGGAAUCCUAUGGCUUAACCUAGAACUGCCUUAGAAACUGUUUUACUUGAGUCAGUGAGGGGAGGGCGGAAUUCCCGGUGUAGCGGUGAAAUGCGUAGAUAUCGGGAGGAAGGCCGGUGGCGAAGGCGGCCCUCUGGCACUGUACUGACGCUGAGGCGCGAAAGCGUGGGUAGCAAACAGGAUUAGAUACCCUAGUAGUCC